rnacentral:lncRNA from 1 species
UACAGCUGCCCUCUCCAGCUUCUGAACAUUGACUCUCAUGAUCAAACCUCUCUAGCUAGGAACAUGUAUACAUAUAUAUAUAAAUUUGUGAUAAGCAUCAUACCGGUACUUGUUUCUGUGGCAUGUGGUUAACAAUCUUUGAAACAUUUUCACCUUAGUUACUAGUAUAAGCUGUUGUAUUUGCAAAAAAUUCUCCCCAGAUGGUUCUAUGUUUCUCGGU